CUUUCCCGCAUCUCAGGAACACUCCACCGUGAAAAUGGGUGAAAUGAGACAUAGAACCGGCUGAGGAUCCAGAUUGGCUGCUGCCAAUGAAAAGGAAGAACAAUCCGGAAGGUUCCUGCACCGGGAUUUGAAGGGCGCCGAAAUGAGUCCCACCUUGAUCAAGAUGCUAUGUGUCGAGAUCCGAUUUGUACAAACUUCCGGUGGAGAACGGAGGGCAGAAACCGCACAAGCGGCUCACGAUCGACAUGGGCUCUGUAGCACGACAGGGAGCCGAGAUCCGUGAGACGCGUCGAACUACCUCCUCAUCAACACCGUUCCAGAACACCUUCAUUCAACCAUCAUUCUGCUGCAG